rnacentral:rRNA from 1 species
AUUGAACGCUGGCGGCAGGCCUAACACAUGCAAGUCGAGCGGAGCUGCGGACGGGUGAUUAAUGCCUAGGAAUCUGCCUGGUAGUGGGGGAUAACGUCCGGAAACGGGCGCUAAUACCGCAUACUAUCAGAUGAGCCUAGGUCGGAUUAGCUAGUUGGUGGGGUAAAGGCCUACCAAGGCGACGAUCCGUAACUGGUCUGAGAGGAUGAUCAGUCACACUGGAACUGAGACACGGUCCAGACUCCUACGGGAGGCAGCAGUGGGGAAUAUUGGAAAAUGGGCGAAAGCCUGAUCCAGCCAUGACGAGUGUGUGAAGAAGGGCGUCGGAUUGUAAAGCACUUUAAGUUCGGCGGCGUUACCAAAAGAAUACGCACCGGCUAACUUCGUGCCAGCCGCCGCGGUAAUAC